GAUGAACGCUGGCGGCGUGCUUAACGCAUGCAAGUCGAACGAAGUAUAUUGGAAUGAGUUCUUCGGAACAAAUGAAUUUAUACUUAGUGGCGGACGGGUGAGUAACGCGUGGAUAACCUGCCUUACACUGGGGGACAACAGUUGGAAAUGACUGCUAAUACCGCAUAAGCGCACAGUACCGCAUGGUACGGUGUGAAAAACUCCGGUGGUGUAAGAUGGAUCCGCGUCUGAUUAGCUAGUUGGUGAGGUAAUGGCUCACCAAGGCGACGAUCAGUAGCCGGCCUGAGAGGGUGAACGGCCACAUUGGGACUGAGACACGGCCCAGGCUCCUACGGGAGGCAGCAGUGGGGAAUAUUGCACAAUGGGCGAAAGCCUGAUGCAGCGACGCCGCGUGAGCGAAGAAGUAUUUCGGUAUGUAAAGCUCUAUCAGCAAGGAAGAUAAUGACGGUACUUGACUAAGAAGCCCCGGCUAACUACGUGCCAGCAGCCGCGGUAA
rnacentral:rRNA from 1 species